UACGGAGGGAGCUAGCGUUGUUCGGAAUUACUGGGCGUAAAGCGUACGUAGGCGGUUGUUCAAGUCAGAGGUGAAAGCCUGGAGCUCAACUCCAGAACUGCCUUUGAAACUAGAUAACUAGAAUCACGGAGAGGUGAGUGGAAUUCCGAGUGUAGAGGUGAAAUUCGUAGAUAUUCGGAAGAACACCAGUGGCGAAGGCGGCUCACUGGACGUGUAUUGACGCUGAGGUACGAAAGCGUGGGGAGCAAACAGG
rnacentral:rRNA from 1 species